UACGUAGGGUGCAAGCGUUAAUCGGAAUUACUGGGCGUAAAGCGUGCGCAGGCGGUUAUGUAAGACAGAUGUGAAAUGCCCGGGCUUAACCUGGGAACUGCAUUUGUGACUGCAUGGCUAGAGUGUGUCAGAGGGGGGUAGAAUUCCACGUGUAGCAGUGAAAUGCGUAGAGAUGUGGAGGAAUACCGAUGGCGAAGGCAGCCCCCUGGGAUAACACUGACGCUCAUGCACGAAAGCGUGGGGAGCAAACAGG
rnacentral:rRNA from 1 species